rnacentral:piRNA from 1 species
UGAUUUAGAGUUCGGGGAACUGAGAAAU